rnacentral:rRNA from 1 species
AUUGAACGCUGGCGGCAUGCUUUACACAUGCAAGUCGAACGGUAACAGGCCUUCGGGUGCUGACGAGUGGCGAACGGGUGAGUAAUGCAUCGGAACGUGCCCAGAGGUGGGGGAUAACGCAGCGAAAGCUGUGCUAUACCGCAUGUGAUCUGAGGAUGAAAGCGGGGGACCAGGCAGCAAUGUUUGGCCUCGCGCCUUUGGAGCGGCCGAUGUCAGAUUAGGUAGUUGGUGGGGUAAAGGCCUACCAAGCCGACGAUCUGUAGCUGGUCUGAGAGGACGACCAGCCACACUGGGACUGAGACACGGCCCAGACUCCUACGGGAGGCAGCAGUGGGGAAUUUUGGACAAUGGGCGCAAGCCUGAUCCAGCAAUGCCGCGUGCGGGAAGAAGGCCUUCGGGUUGUAAACCGCUUUUGUACGGAACGAAAAGGCUCUGGCUAAUACCUGGGGCUGAUGACGGUACCGUAAGAAUAAGCACCGGCUAACUACGUG